CUUAGCAAAUUAGCCAGACUAUUGACUAAAUUUCUAACAGCUUGCUCGAUCUGUAAGUUGAACGUUUAACUACAGUACUUAUGUUAGAUUUGUGCGGUUUGUAAUUUUAAUCACAUUUUUAUGAUUUGCUAAUUGCCAGGAUUUACCCCAUUUCCUAGCAUGCGGUUAACAUUACUUAUGUACAAAUAAAUCAAUAAGUGUUUGGUGGCUGUGUGAAAUAAAGCAUCCAUCAUGCAAAUGUAUUAAACAAGAUUAGUCUUAGGUUAUCUGGAUUGUGGGCUUUGGGGAGGAAUACUUUGGCGGGAAUAACACUACAAUGAACACUGUAGUGUAUACAUUUGUUAUCACCUUGUUAUUGAGUUUAACUUGAUUAAUGACUUGUUAUUUACCAUUUAUCUAUAGAAAUAUUUAUUAAGCAUAGAAGGGACAUGGCAAAAAGAUUUUCACAUCAUCUGCGAUAAAUCGCUCCAAUACUGGACUGAAAAAGGAAUGUUUUGUCUUUCAUAUCUCAGGUAGAAUGAUCGAUUAGUGGUAAAUCUGAUUAGUCUAAAAAUGGAUUGAUGAACAAUAGAGCGAGACUGACAAUGAAGAUGCAGCUGCAAGCCGAUACUAGACACAAAGGGAGAAACAUUGUUCAUGGACAACUUGGACAAAGCAGAAAAGAGGGACAUCAAACAGUGGACACGGCGCCGCAAGCGACAGGCUUGGGCUAGUUGGCUGAAAGAACUCCUGGCUGAUGAGAAGUUGCAGUAUGCCGGGGCAACUGAGGACAUGAUGUCUGAUAUGGAGACUGACCCCGGUGGAUUUUUGGUUUCUUCUCCUAGCUGAGUUUGAGUACCUGAUCAAAUCAGCUGAUGAAUGAAGGAGAGCCAACUGCUCUAAUGGGGAGAAGAGCCGUCGCCAAAAUGACCACCACACCCCUACACUGGACACCUGAUUGCUCAGAACAUUUAAAAAGAAAAGCUGUGUUUUACAGAGGUUAGCAUUGCGUAAAGGUUUUAUUCACAUUGACUAUUAAUUUUCUAUUGUUACUCCUCAAAAUCUGUACAUUAUUCCAAACUUUUGGCUGCCAGUGUCCUUUUGAGAACUUGCUAUUCUUGUAUGGCUCUGUGGGAACCUGCAAGCACUUUCCACUUUAAAUGUAACUAUUUGCACUUUAAUUACAUUGCUGUUUUUAGUAAUGUGUCCCAAUAUUUAUUUGAUUUGAAUUAAUAUACGUAACAUUUUCUGGUAACCCUUGUUUUCUUGUAAAUGUCUUGUAAAUUGUUUGUAUAAUUUAAAGAACGUUCUAUUGCUGCACCGCUGUGAGGGUACAUGCAUGCAUUUUCUUGUUGAACUUGUGUACACUACUUUAACAAUUGUACAUCUGUUUAUUUGUACACAUUAAUUGUGAAAUACUGCAUUUUUUGCACUUUACUAGUAAAACUAGGACUACGAAAUGGGGUAUUUGGCCCAGUGUUACAUUUGUGUUUGGAUAUGUCUGAGAUCAGUGAGAAGUGGAGAGGCAAACUGCAGCAACCCAGUCCUAAUUGUUUGCUAAACAGGGGUAAUAAUCUGUGUUGGCGGGUUACUUGUUGGCUGUGGUGGCUUGGUGUUAGAUUCUGUC